rnacentral:rRNA from 1 species
UGCAAGUCGAACGGUGUCUUCGGACAUAGUGGCGCACGGGUGCGUAACACGUAUGCAACCUACCUUACAUUGGGGGAUAGCCUUUCGAAAGGGAGAUUAAUACCGCAUAAGACAGUAGCUGGGCAUCCAGCAGCUGUUAAAGAUUUAUCGAUGUAAGAUGGGCAUGCGUCCAAUUAGUUAGUUGGCGAGGUAACGGCUCACCAAGACUUUGAUUGGUAGGGGAACUGAGAGGUCAAUCCCCCACACUGGCACUGAGAUACGGGCCAGACUCCUACGGGAGGCAGCAGUAGGGAAUAUUGGGCAAUGGACGCAAGUCUGACCCAGCCAUGCCGGGUGCAGGAUGAAGGCGUUAUGCGUUGUAAACUGCUUUUAUACAGGAAGAAACGACUCUUGCGAGAGGCAUUGACGGUACUGUGUGAAUAAGCACCGGCUAACUCCGUGCCAGCAGCCGCGGUAAUACGGAGGGUGCAAGCGUUGUCCGGAUUUAUUGGGUUUAAAGGGUGCGCAGGUGGUUUAUUAAGUCAGUGGUGAAAGACGGUCGCUCAACGAUUGCAGUGCCAUUGAAACUGGUAGACUUGAGUAAAGUAGAGGUGGGCGGAAUUGAUAGUGUAGCGGUGAAAUGCAUAGAUAUUAUCAAGAACUCCAAUUGCGUAGGCAGCUCACUUGGCUUUUACUGACACUCAUGCACGAAAGUGUGGGU